ACUCAAAUGAAUAGACGGGGACCCGCACAAGCGGUGGAGCAUGUGGUUUAAUUCGACGAUAAGCGAGAAACCUCACCAAGGUUUGACAUACGGCUGCAGAAUCCGAGAAAUCGGAUAGCCUUCGAGGGUGCCGUACAGAUGCUGCAUGGUUGUCGUCAGCUCGUGUCGUGAGAUGUACCGUUAAGUCGGGAAACGAGCGCAACCCCUACCCUAUGUUUCAUGUGUCAUAGGGAACUGUCCGCUAUAAGUGGGAGGAAGGUGGGGAUGACGUCAAAUCAGCAUGGUUCUUACACCUUGGGCGACACACGUGCUACAAUGGGAGGUACAACGGGACGCCAAAUCGCGAGAUGGAGCAAACCCCUUAAAACCUCUCUCAGUUCGGAUUGAAGUCUGCAACUCGACUUCAUGAAGCUGGAAUCGCUAGUAAACGCGCAUCAGCCACGGCGCGUUGAAUACGUUCUCGGGUCUUGUACACACCGCCCGU
rnacentral:rRNA from 1 species